AGAGUUUGAUCCUGGCUCAGGACGAACGCUGGCGGCGUGCUUAACACAUGCAAGUCGAACGGUAAGGCCCUUUCGGGGGUACACGAGUGGCGAACGGGUGAGUAACACGUGGGUGAUCUGCCCUGCACUUUGGGAUAAGCCUGGGAAACUGGGUCUAAUACCGAAUACACCCUGCUGGUCGCAUGGCCUGGUGGGGGAAAGCUUUUGCGGUGUGGGAUGGGCCCGCGGCCUAUCAGCUUGUUGGUGGGGUGAUGGCCUACCAAGGCGACGACGGGUAGCCGGCCUGAGAGGGUGUCCGGCCACACUGGGACUGAGAUACGGCCCAGACUCCUACGGGAGGCAGCAGUGGGGAAUAUUGCACAAUGGGCGCAAGCCUGAUGCAGCGACGCCGCGUGAGGGAUGACGGCCUUCGGGUUGUAAACCUCUUUCAGCAGGGACGAA
rnacentral:rRNA from 1 species